UACAGAGGUCCCGAGCGUUGUUCGGAUUCAUUGGGCGUAAAGGGUGCGUAGGUGGCGCUGUAAGUCGGGUGUGAAAUCCUGGGGCUUAACCCCGGAACUGCAUUCGAUACUGCAGUGCUUGAGGACUGGAGAGGAGACUGGAAUUCAUGGUGUAGCAGUGAAAUGCGUAGAGAUCAUGAGGAAGACCAGUGGCGAAGGCGGGUCUCUGGACAGUUCCUGACACUGAGGCACGAAGGCCAGGGGAGCAAACGGG
rnacentral:rRNA from 1 species